CCGAACCCUUCUUCCCUCUGUGCUGCCAGAGCCGACCAUCACAGCCGACUUCCGUGCCCUAGUUUGGGUUCACAAUCACCGACGCCGAAGACUCCCUUCCUCCUCUGACGGUGGACCUGAUCGGAGGCUGACAGAGGUGCUGGCUGGUUGUAGGUUUCCUUUUCCCGAGCCUAGACUUGAUCUUCUGUCACGUCUCUGGAGAUCGACAAGGAUUUGGAUGCGAGUAUAAGUAGAACAUGGGUGGCUGCAGUAUGGUGGGAGAUUUUU